rnacentral:lncRNA from 1 species
GCGGUUCGUGCGGAAGGAGCGCUGGGAGUUAUGUGAACCUCAGCGUUAAAAUGUGUUAGGGUUUGGAGAUCCUGACUCCCUUUCUAGGGGCAACUCCUAUAAACAGAUUUAGCCUAAGACUCGCGUGUUGAAAUUGACUUGCCCCAUUCCUGCCAGUUAAGAGGAUUAGAGAUACAGGUGGUGAAAAAGAAACGAUGACACCCCUAAGACCUGAGCCCCUUCUGGGACCCACACUCCACCUGUAGAACUCUGAUGGGGCCUUGUGCGGCCGAACCACAAUCCAAGAGAGGUGUUCUCAUCAUUUGUCGCUAGCCACAGCCAUCUCGAGGGGAAAUGCCCCAAAUGUGGAAGUAUCUGACACCAGGACUGGGGGUUGGAACACUGGAUGAACAGCAUGGGUGCCACUCUUUCACUGUGCACCGUCCUAAGAAAGAAGCCUGUUUCCCUUUGAAGAGCCUAGUGCUGAGUGCCCAAUUCAAUCGGACCACGCAGGGCAGUCUGAAGAUUAAAAGAUGCUACCUUUAAUUCCUUCGGCUAAUUCAGAAGUAUGUGAAACACAACAUACUCAUUAACAUGGAAGAACUGGAUGUGUGUGCAUCUGGCUGUGUAUUAUUUAUUUUUCAGAGACAAGGUUUCACCAUGUUGCCCAGGCUGGUCUUGAACUCCUGGGCUCAAGUGAUCCUCCCACCUCAGCUCCAGAGUAGCUGGGAACGAAGAAUUGUAUGUAUUUCUGAGUGACAUAGAGUACACGAUAAAACCACAUAAUUUAUAUCAUUAUAAAUAACAUACAAAAUUUUGGAGGCUAAAAUAAUAUACGUGAGCAGUCAUAAAAUACAAUGAAAUCAUGUGCUUUGCAGCCACAUGGAUGGAGCUUGAGGUUAUUAUCCUAAGUGUACUCGGAAACAGAAAAUCAAAUAGCACAUGUUCUCACUUAUAAGUGGGAGCUAAAUAAUGGG